rnacentral:rRNA from 1 species
GAUGAACGCUGGCGGCGUGCCUAAUACAUGCAAGUCGAGCGAAUGGAUUAAGAGCUUGCUCUUAUGAAGUUAGCGGCGGACGGGUGAGUAACACGUGGGUAACCUGCCCAUCAGACUGGGAUAACUCCGGGAAACCGGGGCUAAUACCGGAUAACAUUUUGAACCGCAUGGUUCGAAAUUGAAAGGCGGCUUCGGCUGUCACUUAUGGAUGGAACCGCGUCGCAUUAGCUAGUUGGUGAGGUAACGGCGCACCAAGGCAACGAUGCGUAGCCGACCUGAGAGGGUGAUCGGCCACACUGGGACUGAGACACGGCCCAGACUCCUACGGGAGGCAGCAGUAGGGAAUCUUCCGCAAUGGACGAAAGUCUGACGGAGCAACGCCGCGUGAGUGAUGAAGGCUUUCGGGUCGUAAAACUCUGUUGUUAGGGAAGAACAAGUGCUAGUUGAAUAAGCUGACACCUUGACGGUACCUAACCAGAAAGCCACGGCUAACUACGUGCCAGCCGCCGCAGUAA